UUCCUUUCUUGCAGAGCUACGUCCUCAGGCUCACCCAUACUGGUUGCUACAGAGAGGUCGCGUAUUAUGCUUGGUUGGGCAGAGACAACAACUGAUGCCACAUUUCCCACACUCAGGGUUCCUUCAACACCAUGGGGGAUGAAUCACCGGCAAGAGACACUAUGGAAAUGUGAGCAAGCGGCCUACUGUUCCUGCUGCCACAGUUGAGACUGUUCUUACCAUCCUGCUUCCCUACCAAGAUGGACUGUACCCUCAAACACUGAGCCAAAAUAAACCCUGUCUCCCUUAAAUUA